rnacentral:lncRNA from 1 species
UACAUAUAUUAACGUACCAGUGGCAGGUAAACAUGUGAAGGUGACGGGUGGAGAAAUUUUGGGAGGAAUUUUCACGUGUAGUUUUCCUGUUGGCAAGACGUAAUCGAUUACAUAAGGGUUAAAUACAUUUGUUGAUAACGCGCUUGAUAUGCGUGUGAGCAAUACUUCCUUUCGUGGCGUAGAAGCUACAGUUGGACCAAU